GGAACCUCUGAUGAAGAAGACGACAAUGGUGGAAUUCACCUUCAAAGACCCAUUUUGCCACAGCCGAAACGAGCCAAAUUCGAGAAUUUUCAUCAAGUUGGCAAUCAUGUGCCACUCUACAAGCCUAAUCCAAGUACCAAUCUCCCAGCGCAAGCUUCCCUUCCAGGAAGAUACAUUUCUAAGAGAGAGAGAGCUGCCAUGGAUUCAGUGGAGAAAGUUCCAGACCUCAGCACAACGGUUUCCCCUAACAGUUCACCAGUUUUAGGGAGCAUUUUGGAUUCAGUUCUGCCACAUAAUAUUUUGUCAGCUUUGAGAGAUCA
rnacentral:misc_RNA from 1 species